UGGGUGCCUUCAGAACAAGAUGUAGAACUUUCAGCUCCUCCUGCGCCAUGCCUGCCUGGGUGCUGCAGUGCUUUCCACCUUGAUGACAAUGGACUGACCCUCUGAACCUAAAGCUCCUCCAAUAAUGGCUGAGCCACGCACUGAUCUAUGAGCAUAGCAGAAUGUCCUCGGGAGUCAUUUCAUUGAUAUUCCUCUGGUCAGUAACUUAAGAAUGAGGCUCCUUGCUCUUCACAUCCUUGAAACUGUGCCACCAGCUUGUGAAUCUGGUGGAGAAGAUGACCAAAUGGCCCAGCUUUGUAGAGAGAAGCACAUGGAAGAGCUUGUGACACUCCCUCAGCUUCUUCCUGCUCUUCUGGACUCAGACCCAUUGGAAGUUCUAGAUCAAAACUGCCAUUGCUGACUGGCAAACGGUGUUUUCCAUGGAUCUACCACUGCUGAUUCAAGUAAAACCGAAAUGCUGAUAUCCUGACAACAAAGACUGAAAUCACACCGAAGAACUACUUCUGAACAGGGCCACAUCCCCCAUGCCCUAUUAACCUUUCCUUUCCACUAACUCUGGUGGGUGGUGGGCUAGAAGGGAGGUUAAAGCAUUUAAGAACUCUCAUUAAAGUAGGUUUUGAAAAAUAUAAGACCUCUCACUGUGUGCCAGGAAUAAGGCAAAGUGUUGUAGAAUCAAACUCAGCAAGCAAUGCCUGAACCUGAAAGCUGAAUGAGCGUGGUAAUUCUAAAGCAAGAGGAGGUCACCAGCAGCGGUGAGUCAGCACCUGAACAGUGGAGGGAGAAUGUUAGCCCCCAGUACUUCCCCAUCCUUUCCAAAUAAAGGGUAGAGAAGAGAGUAGUUUGAAAAUGUUGCGGCUUUCCAGGAGUAACUUUCUGAACACACCCACUCAGCAUCAUAAUUAGAUUGUAGGCUAAUUGUUUACUUUAA